CGCAGCUACAAAUCUUAGAUGGUACUUGUAGAAGAACUUCUGCUGAAUGGAAAAUAUCUGGGAUUCCUUGGUGGUCUGAGACACCCCAACUGUUAUUUGCUUCCUGUGACAUCUAAAUUUUGGAAGAGAUGCUCUCUGAAAGAAGAAGGUAAAGGAAAUAUCUCAUGAGUAGGGGAAGAUCCCAGAGAUGAGGUAGCUGUGUGGAGGCAAAUGCUAG
rnacentral:lncRNA from 1 species